rnacentral:snRNA from 1 species
GGAUGUGAGGGCGAUCUGGCUGCGACAUCUGUCACCCCAUUGAUCGCCAGGGUUGAUUCGGCUGAUCUGGCUGGCUAGGCGGGUGUCCCCUUCCUCCCUCACCGCUCCAUGUGCGUCCCUCCCGAAGCUGCGCGCUCGGUCGAAGAGGACGACCUUCCCCGAUAGAGGCGUACCGUUCAUCGGUCAAGGGUAUACGGUAGCUGCGCUCCCCUGCUAGAACCUCCAAACAAGCUCAAGCGGUCCAUUUGUAGGAGAACGUAGGGUAGUCAAGCUUCCAAGACUCCAGACACAUCCAAGUGAGGCACUGCACGGGGCAGUCUGCCAUUCUUU